CUAAGAGACGCAGAGACAAGCUUCAAAAAUAAUCAAAAGGAAAAGAAUCCAAAAAGAAAAUCCAACAGAAAUAGAAUAGAACUGAAAAACUGAAGAAAUAACCAAAGAAUACAACAACAACGAAAUACUCGAUACGUUAAAAACUCUAAAACAAUUACCUGGAAAACCGUCGGAACCAUGUGUUGAAACCAUUCAAUUACGCCUGUUCAAAGCGAGCUAACGCAAUUCCAAAGAAAACAAUGUAACGUCCAAGUUACUCCAAACCAAACUACCCCAGCUAGCCGGCUUCCCUCUUUCACGGAACUCCACUUUCGAAACAGAAUUACCCAAUUUCCUCAGACCGUGACACAUCUACACACACACACACACACGUGGAACGAAGAGAUACAGAAUAUAUCUCGUAGAAGCCACACAAUACGCAGUCCACGACCACGGCCACGAAUCGCCAUCCUACGUUCGAAAAUCCUGCGACAGGCAAAAUAAUUUAGUCCCAGCCGGAAUUCGAUGGUUUCUCGCCUCCACGAUAGAUUCCUCCUCCCUCUCCAACUUCCCCCUCGCGAAACACAAUUCGAAAUUUCGGUUGGAAAAUAAUAAUAAUUAUUAUUAUUAUCACGAUACGUGAACAAUGAGGACGACAAUGAUAACGAUAAUGGAGAGUUCACCGAGAGUGAACUUUGGCGGGAAACUUUAAACGCGCGAGGAAGGGAUAUAAUAGGGGAGUCGCAAUUUAUGGCGGUGUUAAACCUACGAAUAACGAUAACGAAACGUUGCUGCGAGAGUGGCGAAAACUUGUCAAAAGGCAAGGGAUUAUCGUUGACCCGUUUAAUGUUUAAUGUUUGUUAGUUUGUCUAACGUAACAGGGGGAGGGAGAGUAUGGUAUGCUGGCUCUGCGUUCGAGGUGUGUGUGUUUCGGCUAUUUUUAGAAUUUUAGGAAAAUGUAGAAGAGAGAGAGAGAGAGAGAGAGAGGAAAGAGGAAAAUGUUUAAUUCGGUGGAAAUGGAUUCUUUGUAUUGGACACGGGUUUAAAAGUUGUUUAGGAGACGUGUACGCCUGCGAGAGAUUCUGUGAUACAUUGUAGGUUAUGUUUACAAGGAAUUUCAAUUAGAUAGAAUCGACAUGGUAUAAAUUAAAUUGGGACGCGCGUGAUUGAUGUAUUCGAAUAUCUUCGCGAAAUUGAAAUUGAAAUUCGAGCAAUUAGUUGCACAGGAAUAGAGAAAUGGAUUUUGAG